GAUAAUUAAUUAAAUGGCUGUGGUAUUUUAACUACACAAAGGUAGCAAAAUCAAUUGUCUAAUAAUUUUAGACUUGUAUGAAUGGUUUAAUGAGAAUUAAGCUUUCUUAUUUAUAUAAAUAAGAAUUUGUUUUUUAAGUUUAAAAACUUAAAUUUUUUUAUAGGACGAGAAGACCCUAUAGAACUUUAUUCAUUUAAUAUUUAUAUAAAUAUUAAAUGAAUUAUAUUGGGGUGAUAUUUAUUUUUUUUUAACAAUAUAUAUAUAUUUCAAUAAUUUUUGAUUUUUUGAUCCA
rnacentral:rRNA from 1 species